UCCGGUGAGGUCCAGGAGCUGCUGUGGGCAAUUGUAUCAGAGGCUAGGCUUCCUUGGAAUGUCCGCCAGCACACUCGGCGAAUGUUUCGACGAUAAAAGGCACAUGAAACAGAAACUGCAGUUGCUAACUACUGCGGCCUUAUUUAUGACAUAAAUUGCGCUCAGCGUGUUCGCACGUGGGAACCCAACUGCCUGGGUCAAAGGAGCGGGUCGCGGCAGCCCCGCGCCUGCGCAGGGGAGACGCGGCGCUGUUGGUAGGCAGUCUGCUCUGUGACGACGUAGAGACUGUGUCGCCACCGCCGUCCUGCUCCUCAGGGACUGUCUGGUUCCCGCCCACAGUGAGGGAGGCGGGCCGCCCGUCGGACGGCGGAGGUCGCGCCGGGCGGAAGUCCCUGGAGGCCGCUGUUGACGCCUCUAGGGGACUGGGAGGCACUCCCUAUGCCGGAAGUGGUAGCGUGGCCGAGCGGUCUAAGGCGCUGGAUUAAGGCUCCAGUCUCUUCGGGGGCGUGGGUUCGAAUCCCACCGCUGCCAAGGAUUUUCUUGCUUUACGCUCGGUGUGAACGGUUCCCGCAUUCUCAGGCCCCUUUUACUCCUUUGGCUCGUGUUUAUUCCGGAUACAGCCGUAACCAGCCAGGAGGUGCUUUUGUGCUCGCGGUCCUCAAGACCUGAGUCAGACUCUGGCAAUCUCUUUGUACCUCCAGGCCUAUCCUCGGACCCCUCCGAAGGGAUAAGGUGUCUCCGGAAUAGCCGCUGGUCUUGCGGCCUCGGCAGCGGGCUGUCUGGUGUCUGGAGCCCUAUCAUGCAGAUCUGACAAGACACUCCCGCGGAGGGCGCCAGUGCUGGUCCCAUGACCGCGGACACACCCGCCAGCGCCAGACACCGACAAGGCCCACAAGACUGCACCCUGCUUUAGAUGCCAUUUGCAAGUCCCAGCCCUCCCUUCCAUCUGAUGGGCCGGCUACAAAUCAGGGCUUCCCGAGAGUCCCUCCUCGGGUUCCAUAAUUUGCUUGAAUGGCUCCGAGCUCAGGCCCGCGUCUGACUUUCAUUUGCUGGUUUAUCAUAAACAGACAUAACUCAGAAACAGCCAAAUGGAGGAGAUGCACAGAGUCAGGAGCUGCCCUUUGUUCCGGACUGUCUUUGAAGAAUAUUCACUUAAAGAAUGGCCUCGACAGGUAGAGAGGUGUGUCCACCUGGUGUGAAGGUCAGGUUCUUCCUGAGAUCCCUGUGCGCAGGGCUCCUGUCCUGUAAUGCUGGCCGCCGUGCGUGCAGGCGUCCGUCUCCGGUCACCCUGUGGGAGCUGGCGCUUGAGGAAUCUGCAGAGGCUGAGUCUGCUCCUGCUGUUACGAUGUCCAGGAGACACCAGAAGAUUCCUGGAAAGUAAUCGGGGUUGCUCACUGCAGGACUGAGAGUCAGCCGGGAGCCUUUCCAGCAGGUCUCAGGAUCCUAGCAGAAAUCUAGGAGGACACGGCCAUGUUGCAGACGGAUGGGUGUGGAGGAGUCUAGAAGGCUUCUAUUUGGGCUCAAUAGCGAGGCCUCUGAAUUGUCACAAGAUAUGGUCAGGCCUGCCACGCCCUGCGGGUAACUGGCGUCGGAAGCGCAGCUCUCUAGUCAACAACACAAAACAUCCACGCCCAAGGACGGUCCGGAAUUUAAACUGGACUCGCCCGGUGCCAGAUUCUGGUAAAGCUCACUGGAGAAGUGGGAUAAAGGGCUGUUCCGUCAGGUUCUCACGCCGGGCUGAGGACUUGGAGCCCCAGAUCCCAAUGGGGGUGCAGAAAUAAAUGUCCUGAACACGUGUAUGCAUUUCCCAAGAGCAUGUGCCUGUGGUGAAAAACAGAACCUCGGAUUUUCCAGGAGAGCGUGGUAUUUUGUCCUGGAGCAUUAGAGUCCAACUCCGGCCACGUGUGCACGCUGGGGACAGGGGGCUCCUGGGAUUGUUGACCAGCAAACAAACAGACCUCGACUCAAAAAUCAUUGGAAAGCCACCGCCAGUUCUCCAGACGUAUCCUGAAUUCUGUCCUUAGGUCGUAUUAUCUCACCAGGAAGCCGCAUAUCCAGAAUGUUCUUCUCCACAGAGACAAUGACACUGAGUUAUGUAUUUAAUGUUUUCAUCUUGGCUUUCACUAAUAAAUAUGUAAGAAAUGGCCACAUAAAUAAAAGGAAAUUUCCUGUAGAAACUGAGCCUAAGGAACAAUGUUUCAAUCAAUCCUUCUUUUUAAAAAAUAAACUAUAAAAAAUAAAAAUAAACUAUAUUGUUACUAGAAAAUUGCAUGUCUUGGACACUUUGUCCUGCAGUCUUAAUAACCUGUAGCCACUUCCCAAAAUGUUUUCUGUGAAACAGGAGCCCACGAAGAUGCUUCAAACAGGACUCCGUGGUCAGUUAGUUUUGUAAAGUAAUCGUUUUAUUGUUAAGAUUUAGAAAAUAUAUUAGCAUAUUAUUAAACACUGAGAAGUGUUUAAUUAAGAAAACACACCUAGACAGCCUUUCCUAAAGUCAUUAUU